AAAGAUAAAAUAUAUUUAUGAUGAGGUAUAAGAGUACCUCAACCCGUAUACAAGUGUAACAAUUCUUACAGAGCUUUUAUUCAUAACAAAGGAUCUAUAUAUAUAGAUAAAAGAAAACCCUUAACUUUUCCAGUUAAGUAGUACCAAAAUCUAAAUUUUAUCAAGUCCAACAACACUAUCUCAGCAGCAUAUCCAACCUAAAUGGUUUUAUGGUAUCCUUCUGAUAUGGAAAUAUGUCAAAAGCUUUUUCCAUAGAAUCAGAGGAUGGUGCAGCUAUUGGGGUAUGAAUCAUAAACUCUGGGACGAUACAUGGGAGCUGAAGGUGGAAAAUAUGUGGCAGUGGCACACAUUGGACAAGUUGGAAGAUAGGUGGUACAUAUUGGAGAAGGUGGAACAUACGUGCUAUUAGUAUAUAUUGGACAAUUAGGAAUAUGGUAAUUAUCAUAAUGAGGUUCCUUUUGCGUGACUUCUUCUGUUUCUGUUUCUGCUUCUUCUUCUUCUCCUCCUCCAUCUUGACCACCCUCAUCUCCUUCUUCUAAAUCUUCGACACUUAACAACGUAGCGUAACGGAACUUCUUUCUCAACUGAUUUACUAAGCAAACAGGAUCCACAUCAUUUCCAAUCACCACCACUUGAUCAUUAUUGCUUUCUUCUUCUAAGGACAGUGACUGCACCCCUGUAUGUUUGAUAUAUGGCCGUGAACACAACCGCAAUUUAAAAC
rnacentral:lncRNA from 1 species